AAGAAGGCAUGGAAAGUUCCAAGUGUAGGUACCUCAGUCAUAAGGCCUUGCCAAACCAUUGUUGGUGGAGAGUCGACAUGAAGAAUCUUGUGCCCUCCCUGACAAGGGUGCAUACGUGUGAUUGUGUUCCAAUGGGAGAGAAUGGUGAGCCAAGGUGUGAAAAUUUUCUAAUAUUACAACUUAGUUAGAUAUCCAAGAUUAUGCCAGGAAAAUAUUUUGUCAGUUGGAGUGUUGUCAAAAUUAUAUUGUGAAUUGGGACUAGUGAUGAGAGUCUCCAAGUCCCAGCAAAAGGAACGUCAUGUGUGUUCAAGGCCUGCCUAGGUUACACACAACACAAGACCAGCUGGGUCAGUAUGGUGAGAUUGUCUCAAUGAAAAGGGCUGAACAGUAAAUGAGAGCCUUAGUAUACAUGAGGGCCUAGAUUCAAACCCCAGUACCACUCACUAACCACCAAACAGUGGGUUUCCCCCAAGUUACUUUAAGCAUAAGGCCACAUUAGUGGGAAUGGUAAAAAAAAAUAAAUAAAAAUAAAUAAAAAAUGUGUCUCUAAUGUGACACAAUGGGA
rnacentral:lncRNA from 1 species